GUCCCAAAGAGGGGCAGUCGCUUGCCCAAGGCCAUGUGGCUGUUAGUGUUGGAGUCAGAAUUUGAAGCCAGGGAGGCUGAUCUUGGAACACCUGCUGUCAACAGAAACUUCUGACAAAAUACAGAGGACUGCCAUGCCUUCCGGGGUGUUCUCCCAGAGAUGCCCCUUCUGCUAUCCUGCCUGUGCUGCUGCCCUGAUCAUUACUGCAAAUGGCUGGAUUCAUCUUUGUCAAGUUUGCACUUUCACCAAAGUUUGAAUUAACGUCGACAUUAAUUUGCUGAUGAAGCGCCUGCAGUAGGUCAUAUAGCGUGAGCACCUGUGAUUUCCAAGGAAAUUAUUGUAAUGUGCUAAAUGGGAGAUUUAAAGAUAAUGCAUCAUUGACAGCCGUGGAUCUGCAGCUUGUCCCCGUGACAGCCCCUGCAGCAUCAGCAGACGAGGGACCUUGAGGUGGACAAGGAAACACAGUCCUGAAGAAGCUGGUGGGCCCAGGCCUGAAAAGCAGAGGUGGCUUCUCCUCUUUAGCCUGGUGGCAGCAGGUGUGCCCUGGUAGUCACCGUGAGCCUGGGUUUUCGGCCGCUCCCAUCCCCUAGUGAGGUCCUUGUGUGCGGAGGGGAAAGCUUUAGGGAGGGUUUGGCCUCCCCAGGUGAUGGGGUGUAGGUGGUGGGGCUGGGAGUUGUCAGACCCCAGACCCUCUUGUUAGCAAUAGGCCGUGCUCUUGAAUCAGGCCUGAUGUGAAGGACCUGGUCACGGUGGGCUGGCAGGAUGGCCAAGGCAUUUUCUGUUGUUUUCUGUUGGGCUCCCACAGACCAGGGGUCAGACCAUGAGCCACACACCCCGAAGAUGCUCGGAGAUGGUGAAGGUGGCAUCGCAGAAGGCCAGGGCUGCCCUGGGGCUGAAGGAUGGCAGAGCCUCCCGCUACCCUGUUGGGAGCUGGGAAUCGGCCAUUCCUUCCCCAAUUCUGACCACGGAAAGUAGCCCUCAGCCCGAACUGAGCUGCAGAAUUCCCACAUCACCCACGGGAAGGUUAUGAUUUCCAUUUUAAUUAGAAACACUUGAUUACACUCCUCGCCCAUCCCUUCUCCUCUCCCCAGCUCAGGGCUUUAGAUAGUGUGUUCACUGAACGGGCGCCCUCGGGACCUUGCCGAGUGGGACAGUCCCCUCUCUCCCUCACCCAAUGUCUGGGGCUGCCCAACAGUGGUGAAAGGUGCUGGGAAGGCACGGCAGCCCUGGGAAGGAGCAGGAAGCAGGACAGUGGGAGAGUGCACUGUGUGGCCCUGCGAGGGUGGACUGCAGCUCCCACCCCCUCACAGCCCGCAAGUCCUGCGGGGACUGCAUGGAAACCCCCCUUAUUCUGGGGAGCACGUGCUCUGACUCCCCUGCUUUAGGGUAGGCCCAGUCUGCGCACCUUGGAAGGAAACCUGCUGAUCCCAUUUUUUCUCUUUUUCCCCAGCACCAGCUGUGAAAAGCCAGUCAAGGACACCCCGUGUGGCAGAGGCUGCUGCACACUCACCGAAACCAUUUCCGCUCUCCUGGGCUCACAGCGCAGCCACAUCUGCCCAUCCUUUGCGGUGGGUGUGGCUGCGCUCAGGGCAGCGGGUGGGAGCGGGAGAGGAGAGGGGCACACACUGAGGUCUGAGAAUAGAGAGGCACAGGAACAGGGACCUGGCACACAGGGACAGAAGAGGGGGUGAGAGCGUGGUGGCAGGACGGAGCAUGGCAGGCUCACGGGCCCAAAAGGAGGUAGCGUGGCAGGAGGGGCCUCCUCCCCACCAUCAGUGCGCUUGUGGAACGAGCCCUCCUCCAGGUCCUCGAGCUCCAUGGUCUGAGCUCUGACCUCCCGAUGAGGGUCAGGACGGUGGAGUGUGGGGAGAAAGAGCCAGCUCUGGGUGCAGACCUGGACAGCUCCGAGUGGCCCAGGCAGGCACCAGCCCUCCCUGCGGCGAAGUGGCCAUUCACCCGCAGGCACGGUGAGCAAGCUCUGAAGUCAGCUGUGCCGUGUGCUGGGCUGCAGAAGCUCUACGUCCUCUAGAGCUGCCCUAGCUUCCCAGCCACCCUGAGGCCUUUCCACCUGCCUGAGGGGGUUUCGUGGGGUCCCCUGGGUGGCAUCUGGGAAGCACUCAGCUGGCUGCACUCCUCCGGGCCCUGCCCUUCUCCAGAGAGGUCCUGGGCUUCCAGGGCCCGCGCUCCUGCAGGAGGACAAGCAAUGACCCCAAUAAUUGCUCUCCAGCCCCAGGCAGUGAUGAAUGGACCCAGAAGCCGUGCAGUGCUGGGAAUCGAUACUGUAAUAUCUUUAUACCAGCGGCAGAGGAUGAGGUGAGGAAAUGCCACAGCCUUUGAACCUCCCUGGCAGUCUGUGGAGCCACCACGCUUGGGCCUGGGACUGCCAGGAACUCGUGAACGUAGCCUGGGAGGGAGGGUGCGUGGAGAAAUGAAGCCUCCUAGAGCGCAGAGGCUGCCUGGAGGGCAGCACAGCCCCUUCACCCGUCCCUGUGUGUCUCUGAGCCUUGGUCCUCUUCAUGGAAGAUGUAACAGGCUCUACAGUAGGGCGGGCCACAGGUGCAUAUUACAGGGUGACCAGGGAGCUGAAAGUUGGGGGGUCCAAAAGUGCUGCAGCAUCAGGGGCCUCAGACAGAACGGUGAGACUCAGGCCUCUGACCGGGCCUUGUUCUGCGAGGGGUGGCAUCGUUGAUUCGCAGGAGACUCUUGUACGCUCAAGGUCACACCUCAGGUUGGCGUGGGAGCCAUUUCUCUGAGCUGUGCUUCGCUACCGAGAGGGUGAAGGUGCAGGCAGCCAUGCCCGUCUCUUGGGUGCCGUGGCGGUUGAGGAGGUUCUGACCUUGCCUCCCAGGGCACGCUGUGCAGGGGGACUGAGAGGGCCCUGGGUGGGCACCUGGACAGUGGGACUCUGCUCCAGGGGCCCGUGCGUGCCUUUGAGAGGAAAGCCAGAACACUCGCCUGCAGCGGCAAAGCAUCCCUCCCGAUGCUCUUUCAUCUUUUAGAGCACCUCUGGUGAGAAAUUGACUUCUUU
ensembl:lncRNA novel transcript